AACGAACGCUGGCGGUAUGCCUAACACAUGCAAGUCGAACGAACCCUUCGGGGUGAGUGGCGCACGGGUGCGUAACACGUGGGAACCUGCCCUUAGGUUCGGAAUAACACAGAGAAAUUUGUGCUAAUACCGGAUAAUGUCUUCGGGCCAAAGAUUCAUCGCCUUUGGAUGGGCCCGCGUAGGAUUAGCUAGUUGGUGAGGUAAAGGCUCACCAAGGCGACGAUCCUUAGCUGGUCUUAGAGGAUGAUCAGCCACACUGGGACUGAGACACGGCCCAGACUCCUACGGGAGGCAGCAGUGGGGAGUAUUGGACAAUGGGCGAAAGCCUGAUCCAGCAAUGCCGCGUGAGUGAUGAAGGCCUUAGGGUUGUAAAGCUCUUUUACUGGGGAUGAUAAUGACAGUACCCAGAGAAUAAGCCCCGGCUAACUCCGUGCCAGCCGCCGCGGUAAAAC
rnacentral:rRNA from 1 species